rnacentral:lncRNA from 1 species
CUAGACCUACUAGACAUUGCCCUAGGCAAUGCUGGAGGACGGGCGCUCGUGCCCUCAUCCUCAGGUGGUACUCCAGUCAAUCUUGCUGAUCGACGAUUUCCUCUCAUCCUGUUUUCUGAAAAACAGUACACUUCACAUAAAUAUUAGCAUCAUAUGGUUCAUGUGGGCACACAUGAACCCGCAUCACACAUCAUAGCAUAUCAUUAAUGCACAUGCAUAUAAUCAUGGCAUUUCACAUCAUCAUGUAAGACAGGACUCCAUAUCCUAUCCUAGUGGACAUGACCUUUCCUAUUGUGCU